rnacentral:rRNA from 1 species
CUACGGAGGGUCCAAGCGUUAUCCGGAUUCAUUGGGUUUAAAGGGUCCGCAGGCGGGAAAAUAAGUCAGUGGUGAAAGCCUACAGCUCAACUGUAGAACUGCCAUUGAUACUGUUUUUCUUGAGUAUAGAUGAAGUGGGCGGAAUAUAUCAUGUAGCGGUGAAAUGCAUAGAUAUGAUAUAGAACACCGAUUGCGAAGGCAGCUCACUAAACUAUUUCUGACGCUCAGGGACGAAAGCGUGGGGAGCGAACAGGAUUAGAUACCCUUGUAGUCC